rnacentral:hammerhead_ribozyme from 1 species
AUCCAGGUGAUGAGUCUCAAAUACGACGAAAUGCGCAUCCUGGAU